rnacentral:ncRNA from 1 species
ACGAAAUAAAAGGGGAGCUCAAUAAAGUGGGCUGAGAGUAAGCAGAUUCGCUUAGACCCUAGAACCUGAUUUGGGUAAUGCCAACGUAGGGACAUGUACAGAAUGCUUU